rnacentral:tRNA from 1 species
GCGCUUGUAGUAGAACGGCAUAUACGGCGGGUUUAAGCCCCGUGACAUUCCCGGUUCGAAUCCGGGCUGGCGCACCA